GUUUAUGACGUAUUAAAAAAAAACUACUUACCAAAUCUUGUUCAAACCAAUUUUCGGUGGAAGUUUGCAUGGUAUGAUGUACAUAAUAUAUUUUUUUUAGUUUUAUCAUACUCUUAUUUUAGAAGUUACGGGGGGGGGGGGGACACAUUUUACAACUUUGGAAGUGUCUCUCGCGCAAACUAUUCAGUUUAGAAGAAAAUGAUAUUAGAAACUUCAAUAUCAUUUUUGAAGACCUAUCCAUAGAUACCCCACACGUAUGGGUUUGAUGAAAAAAAAAAUUUUGUUUUACGAUUUAUGACGUAUUAAAAAAACUACUUACCAGAUCUCGUUCAAACCAAUUUCCGGUGAAAGUUUGCAUGGUAAUGUACAUCAUAUAUUUUUUUUAGAUUUAUCAUUCUCUUAUUUUAGAAGUUACAGGGGGGGGGGACACAUUUUACCACUUUGGAAGUGUCUCUCGCGCAAACUAUUCAGUUUAAGAAAAAAAUGAUAUUAGAAACCUCAAUAUCAUUUUUGAAGACCUAUCCAUAGACAGACAGGUGUGGGGACACGUAUGGGUUUGAUGAAAAAAUGUUUUUUGAGUUUCAGUUCUAAGUAUAGGGAACCCCCAAAAUUUAUUGUUUUUUUUUCUAUUUUUGUGUGAAAAUCUUAAUGCGGUUCACAGAAUACAUCUACUUACCAAGUUUCAACAGUAUAGUUCUUAUAGUUUCGGAAAAAAGUGGCUGU